rnacentral:rRNA from 1 species
GAUGAACGCUAGCUACAGGCUUAACACAUGCAAGUCGAGGGGCAGCGCAGUGUAGCAAUACAUGGGCGGCGACCGGCGCACGGGUGCGUAACGCGUAUCCAACCUUCCCGUUACUCUUGGAUAGCCUUCCGAAAGGGAGAUUAAUACAAGAUGGUAUUCAAAUUCCGCAUGUUAUUUGAAUUAAAGAUUAAUCGGUAACGGAUGGGGAUGCGUGACAUUAGAUAGUAGGCGGGGUAACGGCCCACCUAGUCUACGAUGUCUAGGGGUUCUGAGAGGAAGGUCCCCCACACUGGAACUGAGACACGGUCCAGACUCCUACGGGAGGCAGCAGUGAGGAAUAUUGGUCAAUGGUCGGAAGACUGAACCAGCCAAGUAGCGUGAAGGAUGAAGGUUCUAUGGAUUGUAAACUUCUUUUAUACGGGAAUAAAACCUCCCACGUGUGGGAGCUUGUAUGUACCGUAUGAAUAAGCAUCGGCUAACUCCGUG